UACGGGGGGGGCAAGCGUUGUUCGGAAUUACUGGGCGUAAAGGGCUUGUAGGUGGCCAACUAAGUCCGACGUGAAAUCCCCAGGCUUAACCUGGGAACUGCGUCGGAUACUGGAUGGCUUGAAUCCGGGAGAGGGAUGCGGAAUUCCAGGUGUAGCGGUGAAAUGCGUAGAUAUCUGGAGGAACACCGGCGGCGAAGGCGGCAUCCUGGACCGGUAUUGACACUGAAAAGCGAAAGCCAGGGGAGCAAACGGG
rnacentral:rRNA from 1 species